rnacentral:rRNA from 1 species
GACGAACGCUGGCGGCGUGCUUAACACAUGCAAGUCGAACGGUAAGGCCCCUUCGGGGGUACACGAGUGGCGAACGGGUGAGUAACACGUGGGUGAUCUGCCCUGCACUCUGGGAUAAGCCUGGGAAACUGGGUCUAAUACCGGAUAUGAGCUCCUGUCGCAUGGCGGGGGUUGGAAAGGUUUACUGGUGCAGGAUGGGCCCGCGGCCUAUCAGCUUGUUGGUGGGGUAAUGGCCUACCAAGGCGCCGACGGGUAGCCGGCCUGAGAGGGCGACCGGCCACACUGGGACUGAGACACGGCCCAGACUCCUACGGGAGGCAGCAGUGGGGAAUAUUGCACAAUGGGCGAAAGCCUGAUGCAGCGACGCCGCGUGAGGGAUGACGGCCUUCGGGUUGUAAACCUCUUUCAGCAGGGACGAAGCGAGAGUGACGGUACCUGCAGAAGAAGCACCGGCCAACUACGUGCCAGCCGCCGCAGUAACAC